rnacentral:rRNA from 1 species
UACAUGGGGUGCAAACGUUGCUCGGAAUUAUUGGGCGUAAAGCGCACGUAGGUGGUCUGUUAUGUCAGAUGUGAAAGCCCUCGGCUUAACUGAGGAAGUGCACCUGAAACUGGCAGGCUUGAGUACGAAAGAGGGUCGCGGAAUUCCCGGUGUAGAGGUGAAAUUCGUAGAUAUCGGGAGGAACACCGGUGGCGAAGGCGGCGACCUGGUGCGAUACUGACACUGAGGUGCGAAAGCGUGGGGAGCAAACAGG